UGGAAAGUGCUACCUACUCUGCUGGGGUCUGGGUGAAAGGUUAGAAGCCGCCCUACUUCUGUCUGGGGUGGAAAGGUAGGCCCUACUCUGUCUGGGGUGGAAAGGUAGGUCCUACUCUGUCUGGGGUGGAAAGGUAGGGGGGUGGAAAGGUAGGCCUGACUCUGUCUGGGGUGGAAAGGUAAGAGCCUUACUCUGUGCUGGGGGUGGAAGGAGUGAAAGGUGGGCCU
rnacentral:lncRNA from 1 species